UUGGAUUUCAUAUGUAGUGCCGCACAAAGAGAAUUCAAAAGCAAACCUUCGAUUUUACAAACGCUCUCUCGCAAACUCAAACUCUCCAUCGUGAACUCUAACUCUCCAGCACGAACUCCAGGGGGUUUCAUUACAAUGGUGAAAAUGAGAGCAAUUCGCACUCUCUCUCAGAGUAUGAGGAGACGUUGUUGUAUACUUCUAACACAAAUUCAGAGGUCGAGCCACUGCUUAGCCUAUCUAGCAAGUAAUGAAAAGCUUUCCACCAAGAACAACCAACAAUGGAGGUAGACCUAGGUAGGUAUCAUGUUGUGUUGCUUCUUGAACACUAAUUAGAGAAAUAAGGAAUUGUCGCUAUCUUGCCUAUGUAUGUUAACUAAAAAAGAGGCUUGUUUUGUUGAAAUUCAUUAACUGACCUGACACACUACCAUAUCCCUCAAAAAUUUUCUUGAUACAACUCCAAUCAACAGCCAUCACAUAGCAAAAUAAAAGGCUAUCAUCCUCAAAUAAUAGGUUGUAUUAUUAUUAGGUUUGAAUCCUAACUAAAUAACCUAAUGUAUUUUGAACAAAUAAUCGGCUGUAUUAUUAUUAUGUUUGAAUCCUAGCUAAAUAAGUUGAUGUAUUUUGAACUUAUAACAUAUGAAUAGUACUAUAUGAGUUUUGCAUAUUUUUAUGUGUAAGGGUGGGUCCAGUUUCCGAUGUUGCUGUGCAUAAGAAUAAGUUUCAAGAUAUUGAUAAGCUCAAUGGUUAGUUCAAGUGGCAAGUCAAGUCUUGAUAAGCACCUUAAAGUCUUGUUGUGGAUUUUAUUUUUAAGAUUACCUUCAGAUUUUUGAAAAUCAUGGUGUUAGGUACCGUAUCCCAUGACUAGGUCAAGAUUGGAUUUCUUAACCCACUCUCUGCCCUGUUGACAAUCCCAACUAUAUUCAUCUCAAAGAUAUUGUUUGCUUUGGGUUUACAUGUUCUUAUGGAUAAAUUGGGCAUGCAUAUUUUAUUCUUCAUAAGUUAUUUUCACUUAAUGAUACUUAGG